GAUGAACGCUGGCGGCGUGCUUAACACAUGCAAGUCGAACGAAGCACUUUAUUUGAUUUCUUCGGAAUGAAGAUUUUGUGACUGAGUGGCGGACGGGUGAGUAACGCGUGGGUAACCUGCCUCAUACAGGGGGAUAACAGUUGGAAACGACUGCUAAUACCGCAUAAGCGCACAGGGUCGCAUGACCUGGUGCGAAAAACUCCGGUGGUAUGAGAUGGACCCGCGUCUGAUUAGCCAGUUGGUGGGGUAACGGCCUACCAAAGCGACGAUCAGUAGCCGACCUGAGAGGGUGACCGGCCACAUUGGGACUGAGACACGGCCCAAACUCCUACGGGAGGCAGCAGUGGGGAAUAUUGCACAAUGGGGGAAACCCUGAUGCAGCGACGCCGCGUGAGCGAAGAAGUAUUUCGGUAUGUAAAGCUCUAUCAGCAGGGAAGAAGAAAUGACGGU
rnacentral:rRNA from 1 species